rnacentral:rRNA from 3 species
AUUGACCUCGGAUCAGGUAGG